rnacentral:rRNA from 1 species
UACAGAGGUCUCAAGCGUUGUUCGGAUUCAUUGGGCGUAAAGGGUGCGUAGGCGGCGCGGUAAGUCGGGUGUGAAAUCUCGGAGCUUAACUCCGAAACUGCAUUCGAUACUGCCGUGCUUGAGGACUGGAGAGGAGACUGGAAUUUACGGUGUAGCGGUGAAAUGCGUAGAGUAUCAGGAGGAACACCGAUGGCGAAGGCAGGUCUCUGGGCUGACACUGACGCUCAUGCACGAAAGCGUGGGAGCAAACAGG